rnacentral:rRNA from 1 species
CCUACGGGAGGCAGCAGUGGGGAAUAUUGGACAAUGGACGCAAGUCUGAUCCAGCAAUGCCGCGUGAGUGAUGAAGGCCUUAGGGUUGUAAAGCUCUUUUACCAGGGAUGAUAAUGACAGUACCUGGAGAAUAAGCUCCGGCUAACUCCGUGCCAGCAGCCGCGGUAAUACGGAGGGAGCUAGCGUUGUUCGGAAUUACUGGGCGUAAAGCGCACGUAGGCGGUUAUUCAAGUCAGAGGUGAAAGCCCGGGGCUCAACCCCGGAACUGCCUUUGAAACUAGAUAGCUAGAAUCCUGGAGAGGUUGAGUGGAAUUCCCGAGUGUAGAGGUGAAAUUCGUAGAUAUUCGGAAGAACACCAGUGGCGAAGGCGGCUC